AUAAAUGUGUGUGUGAGAAAACAACUGAUUGUCUCUUGGGUGCACAGACUUUGUCUCUGUAUCCUGAUAGCCUGAUGCUUAUGAGACCUCUCUGCGCAGAGAUUAAUAAACUACUAACAAGAAAGACAAACCUUAUUUCAGACUUCAGGUUUUUACAGACCUUUAAGCUAAAAAUUCUUCCACAUACAUGGCGACGAGGAUGGGAUUCCUUGGCUGACAACGUCCGGAAUUCAAGGCAAAGGUGACGGAUCAUCCUGGGACAAAUUCCCCAGCCCCAUUGUCUCCAAGUUGAGACCAGAGUGGGGACCUAGCCUGAGGACCGGACCGUCUCCACAGGAAUCCCAAGCAAGAAGGAAGAGGGCAAGGAUCUACAAGGGCACCUCAACCAGAGAGGGUUCAAGCGGAGCUAGUAAUCAAGGAUCUACAAGGGCACCUCAACCAGAGAGGGUUCAAGCGGAGCUAGUAAUCAAGGAUCUUUGCCUCAACCUGUUUAAACGUUCCCCAGUGUGUGACGGUGGACCCUGACCUCGACUGCUUCCACCCCCGCCUCCGCCACCACCACAACCACCACAAGUCCUGCCAGCAAACCCUGGAUUCUCAGCGGCCCUGGAGAAUACUCAGGGGCGCGCUGAGCCAUCAUCAUACAGCCAACAGCAACGACAACUAUCUCCUGAUUCCACAACGCACACGCUGACGACUGACAACCAAAGAUCAAUAGUCCAAUGGCAGUCUGAAGACAAUGACCGAUUCUAUGACUCCAGGGGUCAGUUCUCCGACGUUGAGGAGGAUGAACCUACUUCAUCGAUGAGUCCCCUCAACCCUUUUGUAAGAGGGGGAGAGGGGGGGGCGUCUGAGCACACCCAAGGCUAGCCUGACGAGCCAGACCCACAUUAAAAUGUAGGGUCUGGAAACUCACCGUUCGCAGUGUUCAGUCCGAAGGGGCGGGAUAAUCAGGUGUCUUUCAAAUUCCCUCUGCAUGCAAUAGGACAGCGGCAGCGCUAUGAGUCAAUGGCUAUUGCCACAGCAUAGUCCUGUGAGUGUGUCCCUCCUUGAGGAGGCUAAAAAUAGAAUGCUCAAUGGCCGGGUUGUUUUUGUGCCAGAAGAUGAAUUACAUUGUACCGCUCAUUUGGCCUUGGAGCCAGACUCACAGUUUGAAGUGAGAUGGGACAAAGUCACCCAGCCAGAGGAAUUGAUCAUAACAGCCCUGAUAUGGUCAACUCAUGUCUGUUUUGCUCUGGUCACUUUGUCAGAAAAUCAGUUAUCUUACUUUGAUGUUUCCCAUGCUCUUCCCCAUAUCUUGCUUGCAAAAAGGGAAUCAGAUAGGUGGGAGGACUUGGGGCGCUUGGCGGAUGACUGUAAGCAUGUGAGUGAUCGGAUACAAAUCUCAGAGAGUUUGUGAUUUAGCAAGAGUCUGACAAUGUAAAACCAUGUUUUGGUGUGGUAACACAUGCGCAGCGAACUGUGAGACUGUUUUCACUUUCUACUGACACUGACUAUCACAUGUUGACUGAGACUGAGGCUGCAGCCAUUCCAGCACUACAGAAGGUCCCUAUGACUCUGUGGGCAAAACUCAGAUACCGGUAUGACGUUGGGUUAAUUAAAGACGAUAAACCAGAGGUGAUCACCCCCAAAUCUGACUGUAGGCCGUGCCAACCCUUCAGACCACCCCAACUUUGGACCUUCCCAAUCCUGACAAGCCUUUUACUAUUGAUGAAAAGGGGGGACACAUGUCUUCUGUUCUUUUACAGGACCAUGGAGGGAGACAGCGCCCUGUUGCUUAUUUUUCUGCUAAACUUGAUCCUGUGGCGGCAGGGCUGCCCUUGUGUCUCAGAGCGCUGGCAGCAACUGCAAAGUCUGUGCUAGCCUCUAGAGACAUUGUAGCUUAUUCACCUCUCACUCUGUUGGUUCCUCAUGCUGUAUCUCUCAUACUCCUUGAACAACGCACCUCUCACCUCUCUGCAGCACGACAUCUCCGUUAUCACGCAUGGCUAAUAUCACAAUACAGAGGUGCACAGUUCUUAACCCUGCUACUCUUCUUCCCACAGCUGAUGAUGGUGAGCCACAUGACUGUGUGGCCGAACUUAAUCAUGUGUGUUCCCCCAGAGUUGUCCUUGCUGAUAUGCCACUGCCAAAUGCUGAACUGUAACUGUUUGUUGAUGGCUCUGCUUCCAGGGACCCAGCCACAGGCAAAAAUGCAGUAGGUUAUGCGGUAGUGUCGACCCAUGCCACACUCCAAUCUGGCCCUUUGCCACAACACUAUUCUGCCCAGGCUGCGGAAUUGGUUGCACUCACUGAAGCCUGUAAAUUAGCUGAGGAUAAAACUGUGACUAUUCUAACUGAUUCUCCAUAUGCUUCUCAAUAUGCAUUUGGGGUUGUGCAUGAUUUUGGGGCUAUUUGGAGACAUAGAUUUUUUUUUUUAAAUCUGAUGGUAAGCCUAUUCUUGAAUUUCCCCUUGGAUUAAUAAAUUAUCUAUCUAUCUAUCUAUCUAUCUAUAUAUUCUGCAUCAUGACAAAGUGGCUGCGUUACUGGAAGCAAUAUUGCUCCUCAAAGCAAUUGCUGUGUGUAAAUGUCAGGCACACACUAAUGGCACUGAUCCCGUCUUUGGGUAAUGCGAGGGCUGACGCUGCUGCCAAGGCCGCAGCUGCUCUGACCCUCAAUGUGACUGCAUCUUGUCCUGUUUUAACCUCUUCUCUCCCACAAGACUUACUUGCUUUGCAAACGUUUGCCUCUCAGGGUGAACGAGACCCCUGGCGCCGUAAUGGCUGUAUCCUUUCAAAUGGGGUUUGGCAGAGUGCUGAUGGGAAGCCCUGCCUACCACGUCACUUCUUUACACAUUUUGCUAAACUAACGCAUGCGUUGGACCAUGCGUCAAAAGGAGGGAUGUUUGAGAUGAUAAAUAAAAAAAUGGUUUUACUGCAUAUGACCAAGAAUACUGUCAAAAAUGUCUGAUUUGCAUGACGCAUAAUGUAGGGAAAGGAUGACCUCAACCACUGGCAGCCCACCAACCACUUGAAAAAACCUUCUGAUCAUGUAAUAAUGGAUUUUAUUGAAUUAACACAGUGAAGAAAAAACUAAAUAUUGCUUGAUAUUUGAAUGGUCAGCUUGUUUGAAAUAACCAGUAUUUAACCAAAUAUUGCUUGAUAUUUGAAUGGUCAGCUUGUUUGAAAUAACCAGUCAAUAUGGAGUAUGGACAGAUAGGGAAAGAUAGCAUUUCCACUGGAUAUUGUCAUGAUCAAAUGCUCAAGUAUUCUGCAAGCAUGUCUUCUGUUUUUAUCUCAGAUAUCUAGGCAAGUCAAGGUUCCCAACACCAUCACAAGGACCAUUACACAAUUACAAACCUUGUGACUAUGUGCUAAUCAAAGACUUUAGAAGGAAACACUGGAAGUCAAAAAGGUGGAACAGGCCAUAUCUGGUGCUUCUUACCACUCAAACAGCUGUCAAGGUAGCAGAAAGAGCCACAUGGGUGCAUGCCAAACGUGCACCAACACCGGACAUUUUGGAUUAGAGGGAUCAAAAUCCACCACAGGUUGAAAGCUCUCUGAGUCGGGGUAGGAGUGAUGGGGUGUGCCGCACUCCAAGCUCGCAACAGUCAAGAAAGCUGAUAUCUGGGUGGUGAGGCCCUUGAAGACAUCAUGAAGAGGAUACAGCUGUUUGAGUUGGAAAGAAGGGUUGUGCGAGAAGAGAAAAGUGUGAAACUGUGGGAACUAGGACUAUUGUUACUUAUCUGUUUUGUAACGGCAUUAGCUCUUCUGUGUGGAGGAGUGAAUUGCACCGAGGUCAAGAAGGUCUAGAGGACGUGACAAGACUGGCACACGAUCUACAAGAGCGGCAAAAGGCGGAUGGGAGGAUUGGCUUCCUAGUUUGUUCCCAGGACUCAAAGGCUGGUUUGUAAAAUGUUUAGCCCCUGUGAUGGUAGUGUUUAUUCUGUUAGCGUUUGUGGUUUGUUGUCAUACCUUGUGUUAGGGCUUUAAUUAUGCGCCUGGUUGAACGCACUGUGGGACUGCAAAUGGUUUAGUAUACUGCUUUAGCAAUGUAUGACAAGGAAGAUGAAGAGUGGCUACCACCCUUUAAUGACAUGACGACUCAAGCCUAAAGCUUAUGUGUAUGAGACGGAUUGUGUCUGAUGUGAUGGUUAUUAAAAAUAAUAAAAAGGGGGGAAUGUGAGGGGAAAAUGACAAAGUGGGACCUUAACCUUUGAUUUGAUACUUGUGUUUCUGUAUGAUUUCACACUUUUGAAUGGACUCUUCUGUGUUUAGCCUAGCUCGUGAUGUUCCGUAUAAUUGAUACUUCUAAUGCAGUGUGAAUUCACUUUUUCUGUUUAACACAAAUCUAGUUCUUAAAGUUCUUAUUAGUUCCUAUUAUUUGAUACUUCUGUUUCAAUACCUAAUGGUCCGAUGGCAAAUUAUGUGUUGUAUGACGUUAGAAAUGUUCUUAAUGUCCUUGAUUCUUAAAUAACCCAUUGUAUUGACCAAGUCAUGUGUAUGUGCAGAGAGGGUGUAAUGAUACAAUGAUACAAUGAGAUUAUGAUGCUGUGUGAGGUAUAAAUGUGUGUGUGAGAAAACAACUGAUUGUCUCUUGGGUGCACAGACUUUGUCUCUGUAUCCUGAUAGCCUGAUACUUAUGAGACCUCUCUGCGCAGAGAUUAAUAAACUACUAACAAGAAAGACAAA